AAGGUGUUUUAGAGCUUGGAAUGAAGAAUUUGAUGGAGAAUUUGAUGAUUAUCUUCGGAUUUUGUAUCGUACAUCAAGAUCGGACGAGCGACUAUCGACAAGGCUUGAGGCAAACGGAUCGAGAUAUCGUCAAGCUUAUUUGAAGAAUUUGGAUAGCAAGUGGGAUAGUAUGAUAUGAUUUGAAGAGUCAAGCUUCCGAAGUUUUAAUUCUCGGAAGUCAUUUGCACAAGAAGUAAAAGAAGAUUUUCAUUCUAGCGGUCCGCAGUAGUAUAGAUGUUUUUGUCUAUGUAUUUGUAUAACGCAAUUUCACUCUGAUGUUUUUGUAAAAUGGGGUCACAUUUAUUUUGAUAUA